AUGAAGAAUCGGAAAACCGUAGAUUUUAUCAGUGGCGUGACAGAGUUCAUGAAUUUGGCUGAAAGUACAAAGAGGAGAAUUGGUGAUGCGGAUUACAUCUUGUGUCCAUGUACUGAUUGUGCCAAUACAGAGUCACAUGAAGUUGCAGAUGUCCAGAUGCACUUAGUCUCUAGGGGAUUCAUGGAUGGAUAUACAUGUUGGAACAGACACGGUGAAGAGGAGGUCAUGGAUGAAGAUACCCAGGGUAGCGAGAUGCCAAACCCCGGUCAGUGUCACAUGGAUGUUGAAUCUAACAUCGGGGCAGAGGCGUCAAGCUACCAAUGGAACACCGGAAAGCCGAAACGCCCACUGGAAAACCAAGACGUUGACGCAGAUGACGACGAUCUUGAUAUGCCAGUUUUUGCUGCUAUGAUUGCAGAUUUCGAGGGCCCAGAUAAGCAUAUGAUUGGGUACAAGGAUCUGCCAAUCAUUGAUGCGGACUCCAAGAAAGAAUUGUAUCUAGGUUGCAAAAAGAAAUAUUCCAGGUUGAGUGCCACCCUGGCGCUUCUCAGAUUUAAAGCAGCAAACGGUCUAUCAAACAAGGGCUUCACAGAGAUGUUAAGUCUUUUGAAAGAAAUUCUUCCGGAAGAUAAUGUGCUCCCCAGAAGCACGAAUGAAGCGAAGAAAAUUGUUUGUCCAUUGGAACUUGAAGUACAGAUGAUACACGGUUGUGUGAAUGAUUGUAUAUUGUACCAUGGUGAGUACAAAGAUUAUCGUGCAUGUCCCACAUGCAAGCAUGCACGAUACAAGCGCAGGAGAUCAAAGGACAAGUACAAAUUGGACGACUAG
rnacentral:rRNA from 1 species